CUCGGCUAACCAUCAAGAAAGAACACACUCCAGUGGGCAUCCUUUAUCCAUCCAGACCCUCAUACAGAUGGUUGGAGUUUUGAUUCACCUAAAGUACCAUGCAAGAGAACUCAUUUUCCCUCUUGAGACCAUGGUGUGACCUGCAAGGUCGAAUGGAGACUGUAAACGAGACAAUCUUGGAGUCACCUGCAUUCACUGGUCCAGUUGUUAGUCCAAUUACAGAUGGAGAUUAUAGAAGAGGAUGAUGUCUUUUCUCCAACAUCUUUCUAGACUGAUAAAAGAUCUAGACAGGCUUGAACAAAAGUUAACAGAGGGGCUUAUAUAGAGAAUGGUGAGCAGCUACACAUAAAAGAAGAACAUGGAGAAUCUGCCCAGAGGUGUUAACCAGCAAUGCAACUAUACAACUAAAUUGAUGCAGGCGGAAACAAUAAUGCAGCUGCUGCAGAUGAAGAAUCCGUCCGUCUACCACUGAAGGAGACGCGGAAAAUCGGGAAAAGAUGUUCUUUGCCCGAGGAAGCAUUUGAUUAAUUUAAAGAUAUUGUGUUUCUUUGUAUGUUAUAGAAAAACGUUGCUUUUUUGCAUACACUCGUGUAAAUAUGCAUCUUAUGAAUGUUUUCCUUUGUCUAAUUUUAAUAAAUUUUACGCAAUCAA